UACGUAGGGGGCUAGCGUUGUCCGGAUUUACUGGGCGUAAAGAGCGCGCAGGCGGUCGAUCAAGUCGAGUGUGAAAGCCCCCGGCUCAACUGGGGAGGGUCAUUCGAUACUGAUCGACUCGAAGGCAGGAGAGGGUAGUGGAAUUCCUGGUGUAGCGGUGAAAUGCGCAGAUAUCAGGAGGAACACCGGUGGCGAAGGCGGGUCUCUGGGCCGAUACUGACGCUGAGGAGCGAAAGCGUGGGGAGCGAACAGG
rnacentral:rRNA from 1 species